GUGGGGAAUAUUGGACAAUGGGGGAAACCCUGAUCCAGCGAUGCCGCGUGAGUGAAGAAGGCCUUAGGGUUGUAAAACUCUUUCACCCGUGAAGAUGAUGACUGUAGCGGGAGAAGAAGCUCCGGCUAACUCCGUGCCAGCAGCCGCGGUAAUACGGAGGGGGCUAGCGUUGCUCGGAAUUACUGGGCGUAAAGCGCGCGUAGGCGGCGAAUCCAGUCAGGCGUGAAAGCCCAGGGCUUAACCCUGGAAUUGCGUUUGAUACUGAUUUGCUAGAAUUCGAGAGAGGGUAGUGGAAUUUCCAGUGUAGAGGUGAAAUUCGUAGAUAUUGGAAAGAACACCAGUGGCGAAGGCGGCUACCUGGCUCGAUAUUGACGCUGAGGUGCGAAAGCGUGGGGAGCGAACAGG
rnacentral:rRNA from 1 species